rnacentral:rRNA from 1 species
UAGGGAAUCUUCGGCAAUGGGGGCAACCCUGACCGAGCAACGCCGCGUGAGUGAAGAAGGUUUUCGGAUCGUAAAGCUCUGUUGUUAGAGAAGAACGUGUGUGAGAUGGAAAGUUCACACAGUGACGGUAACUUACCAGAAAGGGACGGCUAACUACGUGUCAG